rnacentral:rRNA from 1 species
GACGAACGCUGGCGGCGUGCUUAACACAUGCAAGUCGAACGGAAAGGCCCUGCUUUUGUGGGGUGCUCGAGUGGCGAACGGGUGAGUAACACGUGAGUAACCUGCCCUUGACUUUGGGAUAACUUCAGGAAACUGGGGCUAAUACCGGAUAGGAGCUCCUGCUGCAUGGGGGGGGUUGGAAAGUUUCGGCGGUUGGGGAUGGACUCGCGGCUUAUCAGCUUGUUGGUGGGGUAGUGGCUUACCAAGGCUUUGACGGGUAGCCGGCCUGAGAGGGUGACCGGCGACAUUGGGACUGAGAUACGGCCCAGACGCCUACGGGAGGCAGCAGUGGGGAAUAUUGCACAAUGGGCGGAAGCCUGAUGCAGCAACGCCGCGUGCGGGAUGACGGCCUUCGGGUUGUAAACCGCUUUCGCCUGUGACGAAGCGUGAGUGACGGUAAUGGGUAAAGAAGCACCGGCUAACUACGUG